GAGACAGCGGAGAUUCAUUACCCGUCGACACAAUGACCAUUGAUGGCCCCGUGGCGUUAUUCAAAUCCAGUACCAAUUGCAGCCGAGCCCCUUUCUCUGCGCCAGGCCCGUAUUGUUGGAGCGGCCCACUAAAAGCCCGCCCCGGCCCCAAGCAGCCAGAGGCGCCCGCUCGGGUUCAGCCCUGCGCCUCGCCAGCACGCCGGCUCCCAGUCCGGCUCCCUGGGCGCUGCAGGUGACCCGGCGGCACAUUCCGGCGCUCCCCGCUGCCCCGGCUACCACCACCCGCGACUCAGCUACAAGGAAGCAGAGAGCGCCCGAGCCGCCAACCAACCCCUCCCAUAAGCUCCUCUGGACCGACUGGAUGGGCUGUGCCUCCCGCUGCUGCCAUGAAACUGAGAAGCUGGGGAACGAUGCGCUCCAGCCGGGCAAUCGCCACGGCUUGGGAAAUAAGAACUUGGACAAAUUAAUCCUUUUCAUUAAAAAAAAAAAUCUUCGG
rnacentral:lncRNA from 1 species